UAGGCGUAAAUGAUGCGAGUUAAGUGUGGGGGCAUCUACGAGAUGGCCCUGUGCUGUAGGGUAGCCGUUAAACUCGCUGCCUGGGGAGUACGGUCGCAAGGCUGAAACUUAAAGGAAUUGGCGGGGGAGCACCACAACGGGUGGAGCUUGCGGUUUAAUUGGAUUCAACGCCGGAAAUCUUACCGGGACCGACAGCAACAUAAAGGCCAGGCUGAAGACUUUGCCGGAUUAGCUGAGAGGAGGUGCAUGGCGUAGACGUCU
rnacentral:rRNA from 1 species